AAGUCGUAACAAGGUUUCCGUAGGUGAACCUGCGGAAGGAUCAUUAACACGUAUCCAAACGUUAAAACCCCCCCGUGAACCUACAUCCUGCUCUUGUAACCCGCGUAGUUCGCAGUCUCUGAUAAAUCAUAGCCCGGAAAGUUGUAGUGAUUCAGAGACCUCUGGCUACGUGCGAACAUUGGAACAGUCACAAUCGAGCGGUAGUUCUAUAGGCAAUGUUUCCCCAAGCAGUCAGUGUCGGAAAGUGUCAUUGAUUGUGCAAGGCUAGCGCUUCUACGAUUCCUGUAGACCGUACACAUAACCCCACAGUUUAAUGUGAAGCUCAAUGUAAUACAUUGGGUAAAAAAACCGAACAACUGUUAACAAUGGAUAUCUUGGUUCUC
rnacentral:misc_RNA from 1 species